UACGAAGGGUGCAAGCGUUGCUCGGAAUCAUUGGGCGUAAAGCGAGCGCAGGUGGUCUUGUAAGUCAGGAGUGAAAUCCCAGGGCUCAACCCUGGAAGUGCUUUUGAUACUGCGAGACUUGAAUGUGGGAGAGGGUACUAGAAUACAUAGUGUAGUGGUGAAAUAACGUAGAUAUUAUGUGGAACACCGGUGGCGAAGGCGGGUGCCUGGCCCAACAUUGACACUUAGGCUCGAAAGCGUGGGGAUCAAACAGG
rnacentral:rRNA from 1 species